rnacentral:rRNA from 1 species
UACGUAGGGGGCAAGCGUUGUCCGGAUUUAUUGGGCGUAAAGAGCGUGUAGGCGGCCAGAUAGGUCAGCUGUGAAAACUCGAGGCUCAACCUCGAGACGCCGGUUGAAACCAUCUGGCUAGAGUCCGGAAGAGGAGAGUGGAAUUCCUGGUGUAGCGGUGAAAUGCGCAGAUAUCAGGAAGAACACCCGUGGCUAAGGCGGCUCUCUAGUACGGUACUGACGCUGAGACGCGAAAGCGUGGGGAGCGAACAGG